UCAGCACAAAUAAGAAUAACAAAAGUGGUUAAUAUCCUCGACUGAAGAGCUCACACUUGUCUCUGACUGGUCCUCUUACAUCUGUCAGUUUUCCUCCCUGCCCUGAAUAAUAAUGGCGCUCCCCCACCUGAUUCAUAGCUGUAUCCAUGGAAACACCCAAUAAUAGCUACAGAGACUGCUCGACUUGCUGUGCAAUGCUGCAAGGUGCUGAGAGAGGAGGGAGAAAGACAGACAGACAGACAGACAUGAAAAUAGAAAGCAAGAAAAACUGACACACAUCAUUAGACACCGAAACAGGGAUUGACAGACAAGCAUUCUAUGUUGGGAAUGAAAAAUGAACCCCCCACACAGUUACUCUUCAGACUGACUAAUUCAAACAUUAUGGUACAAAUGGCUUCACAUGAGUGAUACACAGCAUGGAGGCGCUAUAGACAUAAAUAUACUAUUUGUA